GACGAACGCUGGCGGCGUGCUUAACACAUGCAAGUCGAACGGUGAAGCCCUUCGGGUGGAUCAGUGGCGAACGGGUGAGUAACACGUGAGCAAUCUGCCCUUGACUCUGGGAUAACUUCGGGAAACCGGAGCUAAUACCGGAUAUGACGCAUGGCCGCAUGGUCUGUGUGUGGAAAGAUUUAUUGGUCAGGGAUGAGCUCGCGGCCUAUCAGCUUGUUGGGGGGUAAUGGCCUACCAAGGCGACGACGGGUAGCCGGCCUGAGAGGGUGUCCGGCCACACUGGGACUGAGAUACGGCCCAGACUCCUACGGGAGGCAGCAGUGGGGAAUAUUGCACAAUGGGCGCAAGCCUGAUGCAGCGACGCCGCGU
rnacentral:rRNA from 1 species